AGAGCGAACGCUGGCGGCAGGCCUAACACAUGCAAGUCGAGCGCCCGUAGCAAUACGGGAGCGGCAGACGGGAGAGUAACACGUGGGAACGUACCCUUCAGUUCGGAACAACCCAGGGAAACUUGGGCUAAUACCGGAUACGUCCGUAAGGAGAAAGAUUUAUCGCUGAAGGAUCGGCCCGCGUCUGAUUAGCUAGUUGGUGAGGUAACGGCUCACCAAGGCGACGAUCAGUAGCUGGUCUGAGAGGAU
rnacentral:rRNA from 1 species